rnacentral:rRNA from 1 species
UACGUAGGGUGCGAGCGUUGUCCGGAAUUACUGGGCGUAAAGCGUGCGCAGGCGGUUCGUUGUGUCGGCGGUGAAAGCCCCGGGCUUAACCUGGGAACGGCCGUUGAAACUGGCGAACUGGAGUGUGGCAGAGGGGGGUGGAAUUCCGCGUGUAGCAGUGAAAUGCGUAGAGAUGCGGAGGAACACCGAUGGCGAAGGCAGCCCCCUGGGCUAACACUGACGCUCAGGCACGAAAGCGUGGGGAGCAAACAGG